ACGCUCGACACCUACGGGAGGUAGCAGUGGGGAAUAUUGCACAAUGGGGGAAACCCUGAUGCAGCGACGCCGCGUGAGCGAAGGAGUAUUUCGGUAUGUAAAGCUCUAUCAGCAGGGAAGAAAAUGACGGUACCUGACUAAGAAGCCCCGGCUAACUACGUGCCAACAGCCGCGGUAAUCUGAGCGGGCUGGCAAGGC
rnacentral:rRNA from 1 species